AUUCCAGCUCCAAUAGUGUAUAUUAAAGUUGUUGCAGUUAAAAAGCUCGUAGUUGGAUUUCUGGCGGGAGCGAUCGGUCCUUCACUCAGUGUUGGAACCUGAUUGUCUCCUGCCAUCCAUGGAGAAAACUUAUCUGGCAUUAAGUUGUCGGGUAGGCAAUCUCCAUCUUUUACUGUGAAAAAAUUAGAGUGUUCAAAGCAGGCUUAUGCCGUUGAAUAUAUUAGCAUGGAAUAAUAAGAUAGGACUAUGGUACUAUUUUGUUGGUUUGUGCACCAUGGUAAUGAUUAAUAGGGACAGUUGGGGGUAUUCGUAUCCCAUUGUCAGAGGUGAAAUUCUUGGAUUUAUGGAAGACGAACUACUGCGAAAGCAUUUACCAAGGAUGUUCUCAUCG
rnacentral:rRNA from 1 species